rnacentral:lncRNA from 1 species
CCUGUCCCAGAGGUUAAAGUUGUGUGAAAUCAGUCAGCCAUAACCGUGAAGGAAGUAGCCCCAGCGAGUGUUAGUGAUAUAGCUCACCUGGCCCCAGAGGAGAUCAAGCUGAGAGAAUAUCGUCAUCAGCACAACAGCCCUGGUAUUGGUACAGGAGUAACUGACACCAACAGGCAAAUAAAUAAUGGUGGUGACCCUGAGAGAACUGCUUCUGCUGGCUGCCACUCACCUGAUGAUUGCAACGGGGAAUUAACAAAGGAGAGGGACGGCCCGAGUCUGAAACUGUGCAGGAACACGUAGGACCGGGGAAGGUAGGAUGGGAAGUCUGGGGGCCCUUAGCGUGGGUGGAGUACUGGGAGGUGGGUACAGAUGAGCAUGGUGAGGGGGUCAUAGAGGUUUGCAUGUGUGCCCAGCAAAGCUCUAGUGCCGGCUGUGCCACUGACUCAUGGGGUAGCCUCGGGCAACUCAUGUCUUCUCUCUGGCCUGCCACCUAUGACUUUUAAUUCCUGGGGUCCCUUCCAAUGCCACAGUUCUGUGGUGGUUGUGGGGUGAGGGUAGAGGGUUGAUGAGCAAAGUGGUCCUUUCUUUUCUGCAUUCAGGCCUUUCUCUACCGCCUCUGGCCAUAGUAUAAUCAAUGAGCUGCAGAGGAAGAACACAGAACUCGAAGAAAAACUUAGACUCCUACAGUCUGAAAAGUCCAGCGUCCAGCUCCAUGUGCAGGAGCUACAAAGAAAGCUGGCUAGGGCCAAGCUUCUGCUUCCACAGGUGCAGCUACAGGAGGAGAUCGAGAACCCGAAGCAGGAGCUUCACAGGCUGAAAGGAGAGCUCCAAGAACAACUGGAUGAAAAUAAUCGCUGGGAAUGCCUCUACCAGGAGCAGGAGGAGAAGAUCUGGAAGGAGGAGGAGAAGAUACAGGAGUGGGAGCAGAAAAUACGGGAGCAGGAAGAAAAGAUGCAGCAGCAGGAGGAGGAGAUGCGGGAGGAAAAAAAGAGGCUCUGGGAUGAGAAGGAGCUGCUGAGGGAGCAGGAGGAGCAGAUGGAGAAGCAGGAGGCGAUGAUGCAGGAAGAGAAGCAGCUAAGGGAGCAGAUGUGGGAGAAGGAGAGGAGGCGGAAGCAAGAGGAGCAGAUGAGAGAGCAGGAGGACAUGACGUGGCUCAAGGAGAAGAUGGGGGAGGAGGAGACGAUGUGAGAAUGGGAGAAGACUAUGCGGGAGCAGAAUUGUUGUAAAAUACGGGCUGGGUGCGGUGUCUCAUGCCUGUCAUCCCAGCACUUUGGGAGGCUGAGGCAGGCAGAUCAAGAGAUUGAGACCAUCCUGGCCAAUAUUGUGAAAUCCUGUCUCUAAAAAAGUACAAAAAUUAUCGGUGUGGUGGCGCGUGCCUGUAGUCCCAGCUACUUGGGAGGCUUACGCAGGAGAAUCAUUUGAACCAGGGAGACAGAGAUUGCAGUCAGCCAAGAUCACGUCACUGUACUCCAGCCUGGUGACAUAGUGACACUUUGUCUCAAAAAAUAAAAAUAAUAAAAUCUUUUAAAAUUUAAAACAUAUUCAGUCAAAUGCCUAGAUCUGAAGUGUACAUUUUUAUGAGUUUUGACAAAUGCAUUACUCAUGUAACUCACUUCCUUUCAAGAUACGGAAUAUUUCUAUCAUCCAGAAAGUUCUGUGCUUUAAUCCUGUCC